GGUUAAGUUAGAAAGGGCGCACGGUGGAUGCCUUGACACUAGGAGUCGAUGAAGGACGGGACUAACGCCGAUAUGCUUCGGGGAGCUGUAAGUAAGCUUUGAUCCGAAGAUUUCCGAAUGGGGAAACCCACCAUACGUAAUGGUAUGGUAUCCUUAUCUGAAUACAUAGGGUAAGGAAGACAGACCCAGGGAACUGAAACAUCUAAGUACCUGGAGGAAGAGAAAGCAAAUGCGAUUUCCUGAGUAGCGGCGAGCGAAACGGAACAUAGCCCAAACCAAGAGGCUUGCCUCUUGGGGUUGUAGGACAUUCUAUACGGAGUUACAAAGGAACGAGGUAGACGAAGCGACCUGGAAAGGUCCGUCGUAGAGGGUAACAACCCCGUAGUCGAAACUUCGUUCUCUCUUGAAUGUAUCCUGAGUACGGCGGAACACGUGAAAUUCCGUCGGAAUCUGGGAGGACCAUCUCCCAAGGCUAAAUACUCCCUAGUGAUCGAUAGUGAACCAGUACCGUGAGGGAAAGGUGAAAAGCACCCCGGAAGGGGAGUGAAAGAGAUCCUGAAACCGUGUGCCUACAAAUAGUCAGAGCCCGUUAACGGGUGAUGGCGUGCCUUUUGUAGAAUGAACCGGCGAGUUACGAUCCCGUGCGAGGUUAAGCUGAAGAGGCGGAGCCGCAGCGAAAGCGAGUCUGAAUAGGGCGUUUAGUACGUGGUCGUAGACCCGAAACCAGGUGAUCUACCCAUGUCCAGGGUGAAGUUCAGGUAACACUGAAUGGAGGCCCGAACCCACGCACGUUGAAAAGUGCGGGGAUGAGGUGUGGGUAGCGGAGAAAUUCCAAUCGAACCUGGAGAUAGCUGGUUCUCCCCGAAAUAGCUUUAGGGCUAGCCUUAAGUGUAAGAGUCUUGGAGGUAGAGCACUGAUUGGACUAGGGGUCCUCAUCGGAUUACCGAAUUCAGUCAAACUCCGAAUGCCAAUGACUUAUCCUUAGGAGUCAGACUGCGAGUGAUAAGAUCCGUAGUCAAAGGGAAACAGCCCAGACCGCCAGCUAAGGUCCCAAAGUGUGUAUUAAGUGGAAAAGGAUGUGGAGUUGCUUAGACAACUAGGAUGUUGGCUUAGAAGCAGCCACCAUUUAAAGAGUGCGUAAUAGCUCACUAGUCGAGUGACUCUGCGCCGAAAAUGUACCGGGGCUAAAUACACCACCGAAGCUGCGGAUUGAUACCAAUGGUAUCAGUGGUAGGGGAGCGUUCUAAGGACAGUGAAGUCAGACCGAAAGGACUGGUGGAGUGCUUAGAAGUGAGAAUGCCGGUAUGAGUAGCGAAAGACGGGUGAGAAUCCCGUCCACCGAAUGCCUAAGGUUUCCUGAGGAAGGCUCGUCCGCUCAGGGUUAGUCAGGACCUAAGCCAAGGCCGACAGGCGUAGGCGAUGGACAACAGGUUGAUAUUCCUGUACCACCUCUUUAUCGUUUGAGCAAUGGAGGGACGCAGAAGGAUAGAAGAAGCGUGCGAUUGGUUGUGCACGUCCAAGCAGUUAGGCUGAUAAGUAGGCAAAUCCGCUUAUCGUAAAGGCUGAGCUGUGAUGGGAAGCUCCUUAUGGAGCGAAGUCUUUGAUUCCCCGCUGCCAAGAAAAGCUUCUAGCGAGAUAAAAGGUGCCUGUACCGCAAACCGACACAGGUAGGCGAGGAGAGAAUCCUAAGGUGUGCGAGAGAACUCUGGUUAAGGAACUCGGCAAAAUGACCCCGUAACUUCGGGAGAAGGGGUGCUUUCUUAACGGAAAGCCGCAGUGAAUAGGCCCAAGCGACUGUUUAGCAAAAACACAGCUCUCUGCGAAGCCGUAAGGCGAAGUAUAGGGGUGACACCUGCCCGGUGCUGGAAGGUUAAGGAGAGGGGUUAGCGUAAGCGAAGCUCUGAACUGAAGCCCCAGUAAACGGCGGCCGUAACUAUAACGGUCCUAAGGUAGCGAAAUUCCUUGUCGGGUAAGUUCCGACCCGCACGAAAGGUGUAACGAUUUGGGCACUGUCUCAACCAGAGACUCGGUGAAAUUAUAGUACCUGUGAAGAUGCAGGUUACCCGCGACAGGACGGAAAGACCCCGUGGAGCUUUACUGUAGCCUGAUAUUGAAUUUUGGUACAGUUUGUACAGGAUAGGCGGGAGCCUUUGAAACCGGAGCGCUAGCUUCGGUGGAGGCGCUGGUGGGAUACCGCCCUGACUGUAUUGAAAUUCUAACCUACGGGUCUUAUCGACCCGGGAGACAGUGUCAGGUGGGCAGUUUGACUGGGGCGGUCGCCUCCUAAAGUGUAACGGAGGCGCCCAAAGGUUCCCUCAGAAUGGUUGGAAAUCAUUCGUAGAGUGCAAAGGCAUAAGGGAGCUUGACUGCGAGACCUACAAGUCGAGCAGGGACGAAAGUCGGGCUUAGUGAUCCGGUGGUUCCGCAUGGAAGGGCCAUCGCUCAACGGAUAAAAGCUACCCCGGGGAUAACAGGCUUAUCUCCCCCAAGAGUCCACAUCGACGGGGAGGUUUGGCACCUCGAUGUCGGCUCAUCGCAUCCUGGGGCUGUAGUCGGUCCCAAGGGUUGGGCUGUUCGCCCAUUAAAGCGGUACGCGAGCUGGGUUCAGAACGUCGUGAGACAGUUCGGUCCCUAUCCGUCGUGGGCGUAGGAAAUUUGAGAGGAGCUGUCCUUAGUACGAGAGGACCGGGAUGGACGCACCGCUGGUGUACCAGUUGUUCUGCCAAGGGCAUAGCUGGGUAGCUAUGUGCGGAAGGGAUAAGUGCUGAAAGCAUCUAAGCAUGAAGCCCCCCUCAAGAUGAGAUUUCCCAUAGCGUAAGCUAGUAAGAUCCCUGAAAGAUGAUCAGGUUGAUAGGUUCGAGGUGGAAGCAUGGUGACAUGUGGAGCUGACGAAUACUAAUAGAUCGAGGACUUAACCAU
rnacentral:rRNA from 1 species